AGGUGAAUCAAUGCUUCCUGUAUUAGCUGUUCAGUGAGUAGCAAUCCGGAGUCUGCUUUCAGUCCAAGAGGACACUGCCUACUGAUCCAGAACUCUUUGGGCGGGCAGUUUUCUUUGGGAUUCUCAGGUUUCUGUCUUUACCAUUUCUUUUUUUCUCCCCUUGUCUCCACAGAUUGGUGAAAGACAACAAGUGUUAGUGACAGAAGAAUCUUUUGAUUCCAAGUUCUAUGUCGCACACAAUCGAUUCUAUGAGCAGGUUUUAGUGCCAAAGGACCUCACAUUCAUGGGGAAGAUGAUCGAAGUGGACAUUUAUGAAUCAGGAAAACAUUUUAUGAAAGGGCAGCCGGUAUCAGACGCCAGAGUAUACACGCCAUCCAUCAGCAAACCAUUAGCGAAGGGAGAAGUCUCGGGUUUGCCAGAGGAAUUCAGAAAUAGGCUUGGGAAUCACCCGAGUUCAGUAUCCCACACUUCUGCCGUCGGGCGAGACUUCGCGAGCUCCAGGAUGGCCCUCCGCUUGCAAAAUCUUCGUCAAGACCGUGCACUGAGGGUGUCCGUGGGCCUGGCUCUGUUGGCUCUUCUUCUCGCCUUUUUUUGUCAAAAUCUCUAGUGAAAACACAACUAAAUGAAACAUUGGAGAAGAAGAAGAAAUUUCUAAUUAAAAUCUUCAGUGAACAGAAAAACAAUCACAUCAGUACUCCAAGAGCAGUCAUUUAUCCUGGUCUCCCUGCCUCUGCUCCAGCCACACUUUUUAAUGAGGCUGAUUGUGUUUCUCGUGGAGUUGGGCCAUUGGUUAUUUGACCUAAAACCUACUAACUGUUGCCAUGGCAUAUCUUUUAAAUUAAGCUCCUUUUGGUUUAUUUGCGGCAAGAAAUGCAAGGGGUUGCAUUUUCUUUCAACCUCUUGUCUUCAAGUCAGAACCUAAUUACACAGUCAUCUUUUCCUUGUGUGGGAAGAAUUUUGAAUUUCAUUACCCCUUUAAAAAUGUAUCUUUGUCUCUCUGCUUUGUUUGGAGUCCCGGUGCUACGAACAUCUUAUUUUUCACAGCAGAUGUGUUCCUGAAAAGUUUAUAGAGAAACCUGCAUUUGGAAGCAAGAAUUCUUUUGGAAGGCACCGGGAGAGUCGCCAGUUCCAGGGCUCUCGGCGACGUUUUUGACAAGUGCAAGGAGUCCCCCCACGUCUUCAGCACCCGCAAACUUUCAGAAACUGGAUUUGUCUAAAACCAGCUGUGCCCCUUUUCUGACGUUUCUGAUCGGUGACAUCAAAUAUUUAUUUCUACCUGACAUCACUGGCCUUUACUAAAUACAGUGACUUAUUUCACUUACGUGAAAGGAGCUGACUUAUGAAGCAAUCUUACGAACAUCAGAAUUUAAAUGUUAUUUGGACGGUAGGGAGUCACAGGGAAAUCGGGUGCCCUCUGGUUACCAUAGGAUGCUUCAUCUUUAAACUCAUACCCUGUUCAGCUCUUCUUUUUAUGUCAAAAUGUUUCAGCCUUUUAUGUCUUUCGAGGCAUCCAAAUAAAAUUUAAUUAUGUCAUCA